GCGGUCACUGCGCGCCCCCAUGGGAAGAGCCUGAGGGAGACGACGGCGGGGUCCGGGCCCCCUUUCCUGGCGUUGUAGGGGGCAGGCCCGUCUCCCACCGGCUACCGCCGCCGCAUAGGGGCACGGCGACGCUGCCAGUGGGGCGCUCCCCGGAGGACGGGCGCGUGGGGCCCCGGGCGCCACAGUAGUUGUGGUCAUGGCGCCCGUAAGGGUCGCAGUGUGGGCGUUUUUUCCCUUUGGCCGGUCGCUGUGUCCCGGCCGACUGCUUGUUGUUGAAGCUCUGAAGGACGUUGGGCAGAAAGUAGAAGGUUUUUGGUGACUUCUAGCCCUGGCCCUGUGGGCUCGUCAUGAGCUGUUACAUUACUGAAGCGUUGCCUCUUGAACAGUCACUUCUUUGCAGUAGGCCAUCUACGGUAGUGUCAGCAAUGUCUGCUAGGAGUGCAUCUAUCUCUUUCACCUCACGAGAGCUGUUGUUGAUCAAGGAGGCAAGUUCAAAAGACAGGCUAAGAGGUCCUUGUCUCAAAAGACCUCAAGGACACAGGAAGCAGCUUCCCCUAAAGCUACUUAAUUUUAUUUGCGAAGUAAUCACCAGUCUGUCUGCGGGAGAAGGGCUUUGAAUCGGCUACUGCAGAGAAACUCCUAUAUGAAACAAACUCAUUGAAGGAGGCUUGGCAGAUACCAAGGCAAAAGCUGACUUAGCUGCCUUCACAACAGCAGCUGUAGGAUGUGGUACCCUGUGUGCGAUGCCCACCACUGUUGCCAUGGAGACUGUGCUGAACACAGACCUUCCGUCCACCUGGGACCUCUGUCCUCUGGGAAACCCGCAGGAUUUCUCUCCGAAUAAUGACUCCUCUUCCGCGAUCUGGGACGCCGCUUCCUAAGACCCGAGGAGAGUCUCUAAUGUGGUAAUUUAAAUCUUUAGAAGAUAUUUUUAACUGGUAUUUCAUUAAUGAUGUCUCACGGGGGGAAAAUAAGGAAGACAUUAAGAUAUCUGCUUUUAAAAAGUAGGGAAACAUAUGGGUUAGGUGACUGCAGCCUGGGUACCUUCAGUGGUCACAACAACGUGUUGCCAACCAGUGCUCUUCUGGUUUGUUUGGAUUUCAUCAUUUAUACCCAGAAAACUAAACUGAAGUCUGCGCAGCUCUACCGCCUAGCUGACAAGGAAAAGCACUACCUUCCUCUUCAUGUUAGAUCUGACAUCCAUUGAGUGUUUUCCUGAGCUGAUGCAACUCACACAAGAAAACCCUUUUUUUGCUGGACAAGUUGAGUCUGCUCAAUGGGAGGUCCAACGGCAGCGGAGAGUUCUCACUGGCAGAAUUCAACUGGAUGUGUGGGGAGCAGGUCAAGCAAAAUGGAAGAGACCAGUUCUCUCCCUUUUCAUGGGGAUGAACUUUGAGCAUGGCUUGCUGUUUCAUGCGAUUGCAUGCUGUGUUACUAGUGACCGAGUGAAGGGCCUGGUGGAUGGAAUUACAGCCCUACGGUCUUGCUUUCUCCCGUCCUUAUCUCUGUGGUUUUGCUCCUCUGGGCAGCUCUAAUAGCACAGCCUUGUUCAGGACUCAAGUUCGUUCAAGAAUUAAGAGUCCAGCUGAUAUAAACAACACCUAAGCUGAUAUAAACAACUUAUACUGGCCAUAAGAAGUGUUUUGAUGAUAGAGCUUAUACCAGUUUGAUGAGUAAAACAAAUUGUUCUAGCCAAAGCAUUUUCUGUCUGUGUCUACGCUUGGGAUUUUGAUAACAAAAAUAGCACAGAAUGUCAUUGGUAGGUGUGCUGCCAAAAGCUUCUGGCCUGUGUUUGUCCUCAGAUCAUCUCUCUUUGCUGCAUAAUAGAUUACAUCUAUUGGAAGUAUCCUCUUCUAUAACUUUUGUUCCUUCUUUCCACUCUGAGGACUCACACCUAACUACUGCUUAUCCUCUGCAAAGGUAUAGAAACGAGGAGGAACAAAGAGCCUAUGGAGGUGUGUGUUUCAAUGAUGAAGUUUAUAAAUGAAUCUAAAUGACACAGGCCUCCUUCUGCUGAGUUACUUAAGUACUUUGAAACAAAACACCCCUCCUCCAAAUGGUAUCAGUAGUCCACAUUACUUACAGGUGUAACAGGAGUUUGCCUGUUAACCCCUCAGUCGCUUACCAGCACAAUGUACCUGCCAAGAGAAAAUUAGGACAAGGAAGUGUUUACAGGUUUUCUUAUGAGAAAAAAAAUCAUGUGAGGGCUUCUCAGACACUCACAUUUAACCUUUGGUAGAAAUGUUCAUCAGAGUGUUUAAAACUUGCUGAUAUGUAGUCUUACUGCAUGUUGUAGGUAGUUAAAAACUCUUCUGCAGCCAAAGUAAGCCUUACGAGUAGUGGCUGAAGGAGGAGAUUGAGCGCUCCAGCUUGCAAUGGCACUAGCCCAGCCUUUCUUGUCCGUCCUUUGGGCCCUUUAGUCCUAAGUAGGAUGAAAUUUGCACUAAACACAAGGAAGCUCUUAAUAGAAACAGCCCCCAAGUAAGGACCAAUAAUGGAUCUGCAGAGAGAUGCUAUGCUCCGGAAAAGCAACUAAAGGAGUUUCGAAGAGAUUUGAGAGUUUGAUUACAGGCUGGUGAUACUCCCGUUGCAGGCUGAGUGGAAGUCUAGCUUGAUCUAAUUAGCAAAAAACUGGAACAUGAGGACAAAACUGGCAGUGGUGAGGUGUUUUGGGAGGCUCUACAAUUUAGCAAACUUUAGCAACUCAAAACUCCAAAGGGAGACCAGUGUGAAUCAUCUCAAAAUCAUCCCCUUCUUUUCUAAACCUAAAUUAAAAUCCAUUUCUGAAAGUUGAUGAAAAUUGUGCAAAUGUGUCAGUGGAGCAUUGGAUUCAUAAUUUUGUCUAUUUUUUACAGGAUCAGUAUCAUUCAAGUUUACAAGCAUAUUUGGAUCAUUUUGGUUACCAAACUAUAAGAUGUUGCAUGGUGAAAAAUAAGAAAAUUGCUAGAAAUAGUUGCAAAAAACCAUCCGUAAAAACUAUGUUGAGACUAGUUAGUAGCUGAGAAGGAGGAUUUUUUUUUCCAGUAGACCACAAGCGUUUAAUUUGGGGUGACACGUAUGCCAAUUGAUGUUUGCGGAUGAAAUACACUUCCAGAUUGAA